rnacentral:lncRNA from 1 species
GGGGCUUCGGUGGCCAAGUGGUUAGCGCACUUGCCUUUCACCUCUGAGGCUGCAGGUUCGAAUCUCACUAAGUACCUUCUCAGUGCGACUCGAACCUAGUCCUCAUGUGAAAAGAGUAAAAAGUCAACGCUCUGCCGAAAGCCGUGGGUUUUCCCCGGGUACUCCGGUUUCCUCCCACAGGGAAAGUUGACAGGGUGGGUUAGGUAAAAAAAGGGCCCACAGUAAUUGGC